rnacentral:hammerhead_ribozyme from 1 species
GUACUGCUGAAGAGUCCCAAAGUAGGACGAAAGAGCUGUCCGGUAC